rnacentral:rRNA from 1 species
UACGUAGGGGGCAAGCGUUGUCCGGAAUUAUUGGGCGUAAAGCGCGCGCAGGCGGUCCUUUAAGUCUGAUGUGAAAGCCCACGGCUUAACCGUGGAGGGUCAUUGGAAACUGGAGGACUUGAGUACAGAAGAGGAGAGUGGAAUUCCAUGUGUAGCGGUGAAAUGCGUAGAUAUAUGGAGGAACACCAGUGGCGAAGGCGACUCUCUGGUCUGUUACUGACGCUGAGGCGCGAAAGCGUGGGGAGCAAACAGGAUUAGAUACCCU